UCAAGUACCUCCUCUAGGAAAGGAGACUUAGAGAUCACCUACUCUAUUCUUUUAUUUUUAUUUUAUAUAGGAGGAAAUAGAGGCCCAAGGCUGGAAAGUGAUGUGGCUGAGGUCACACUGACAUGGAAAUUCAGAGUGGGAAGAAAACCACAUCAAAUCCAACCUACCCCUGAGAAAGGAUUCCCCCCCUUCAGCAUGAAAGAAUUGGGCAAUGCAUUUAUUACAUGUUUACAAUGUACAAAGCACUGUGUUCAGAGCUGGGGUUACAAACAGAAAAGCAAGAAAAGUCCUGCUGUCAAAGGAUUCUAAUGGAGAAAACAACACAAAAGAAAAUGUUAGCUACCAGUUAGAUGGAAAAGUCCUGUGGAUCUGAAGGUGCAGCAGCAAAGCCAGUGAUUUGCUGCUCCACUCUUCAAACCAGCCCUGAAAUAGUAGACAGAGCUGUUGCUACAACAGAAAGAUGGCAGUGUGGGAUCAGAGGAAGGGAUCUGGACUUAGAGGUGGUGCCCAGAAGUGGACAGAGCCUUCCAGUACUGCCAGGACAAUGCAACCUCUUCCUUCUCCUUGACACCCUCCACAAAGGCAGGUAUUGCUUUGCCCCUGGAAAUGACUUUGAGACAUCCACUGCGAACAGGCGGCCCCGCCCCCAUCUACCAUCAUCCCCCACCUCCAGGC